rnacentral:rRNA from 1 species
UCCUUAGAUGUUCUGGGCCGCACGCGCGCUACACUGAUGCAUUCAACGAGUCUAAAACCUGCUCUGAUAGGGGUGGGUAAUCUUUUGAAUGUGCAUCGUGAUUGGGAUAGAUGAUUGCAAUUUUUCAUCUUCAACGAGGAAUGCCUAGUAAACGCAAGUCAUCAGCUUGCAUUGAUUACGUCCCUGCCCUUUGUACACACCGCCCGUCGCUCCUACCGAUUGAAUGAUCCGAUGAAUAUCAUGGAUUGAGGAUGCAAGUAGGUUCGCCUAUCUUCAUCUUCGAGAAGUGAAGUAAAUCUUAUCAUUUAGAGGAAGGAGAAGUCGUAACA